CUCACAUUUAUUGACACUUCCCCACUCCCUCAAUUCCCCAUAAUGCCCCUGGUAACUAACUGAUAACAGUUAGAGAACUAAGUUUGAUUCCCUGCAUCAACUCUUGCACCUGCCCUGCUGACUGUAUCACCUUCUUUUUUUCUCCUUGUGUAUGUAAAUAUAGUGGGUGGUCUAUCAGCAUUAACGAAGUUUAAUAGAAGCAUAUCACAGUCAUUAUAACAAACUUCAUUGGCUCUAUAAUACUCACCAAGAUACACUGUUUAUUUUGAAUUUUUGCAGUCAAUGGAUGAAAACAGAAGAUUCAUGUCUGGCACCAGCAUUGGGUAGAAAUAUAUCUGAAAAAACUAGCAAAAAGAGUUGAAGUAAGUUGACUUGUUUUCCCUUUUACAUUUCAUGAAAGUUUGCUCCACAAAUGUGCUUUGUAUCCGCCCUGCAAUCUUGCCUGUUUACACCUUGGAAUCUUGGACACAUUUACACUGUUGUUGGAGCAGUUGGAUCAGCUUUGCACUUUAUCUUUUAAUCAUCACAGCUGAGCCCGGCAACAGCUGUAUCUCGUUUUCUAUGCUUAAGACAUCUCAGUUCAAGUGACAGAUCAAUGUCUAUAAUGCACACAUUAUGCCUUUCAGCAUUCACAUCAAUCUUUAUCAUUGUCAGUUCCAUAUUUGAUUCCCCUUUUCUUUCUCCAAUUUCUUCCUUAGCACUUACCUGCUUCUAUCUGUCUAUCCUUCUAAGAAUGUCAUGACUUUCAUGUGUAUUUAUAACGUUUUUCGUCUUUUGGUUUCAUUAUGUCUCGUCUUUAAUUGUUACAAGUAUGUUUUGGACACAGACAGGAAUGACAAUAAAAACUAUGAAGACAAUCCUUGGCACAUGCACAAUAGGAAGAAAUCUGAUUGCUUCCAGAUAUUUGUUUUUAAUGUGUGGAUAGCUCAGUGAUCAGAUUUUGGAUUUGCUCUCCAGUGGUCACCAAUUCGAGUUCCCUAUAGGCCAGGCCACUGAGGUGAGUAUUUGAUUGUAAACUUUAGGGCCCCGUGGGAUUAAUCGAGGUGCACGUGAACUGGCUCGGACACCCAUGGUCAUUAAAAAAAAAAAGGAAUGACUAGCAUAUAGAAAACAACAGUAAAAAAAAAUUAACGGGAAUUAAAAGACAUGCAUAAUAAAGACACAUUUGAGUAUUUUCUUGGAUUCGUUACCUAUUUAUUCUGUUUUGCUUGUUUUUAAUUAAAGCCGGAACUCAGUUUGUUUGUUUACUCCACGUAGCUCCUUAUUUCGAUGAUUUCAAUGGAAUCAACUCUAUGACAUUCUGAUGAGGAUAUCGGACGACGUUUACUUAUUUUAUUUAAGCUUUAUUUAUUUUCUUGGACUAUUAUUUAAAUUUGGACUUGUAUGGGCUCGGGUCCAAGCUCGUUAGGGUUGCUUUACUGAUUAAAUCUAUCUUGCAUUGUAAUUUUCAGACGAUGAUGAAUUAGAAUUGAAAUAUUUUUGGUGGCUUGCAGCCGUUUUCUCCCUCCCCUCUCUUUCCCUAGUUUCUUCUCCUCUUCUCCCUUCUCUAUGUUUCUCCUCCCCGUUCCUUCUUCUUUCUUUCUUAUUCAUCCUACAUCAAAUUUGGUAUCAGAGCCGAACCAUAGGUAAUUUCUUUUCUUUAAUCCAAAAUUUAUUCAUAUUUCCUUCCCAAAAUCUGUUGGAACAGCACGAACUAAAAGAAUUUUUGGUAAAGGCAGCAGUUUUUUUUCUUCUUCUUCAAUUUUCAGUCUUAGUUGAAAAAAAAAAAAAAGUUUACUGUUCAUCGCAGGUACUGUUCACGCAGAAUUUCAAUUUAGUAUUUUGGUCAGUUUCUUAAAAAAAAAAAAAAGUUACUGUUCACGAGUACUUUUCAUGCCUAAAAAAAAAAAUUUCUCAUUUUUUUUUGCUGCUGCUCAUAAAAAAAAAAAAUAAAAAUUGUGGUGUUGUUCCACAAAUCCCAAACCCUAGCAUUCAAGCCCAUUUAGCCCAACUAACUCAGCCUACUCUUUACGACCCAUGCCCACUCUCCAAACACUAACCUCAGGUGGCCCAUCUCUAUUACAGGAUCCAAACCCCUUCCCAUCUGGCCCAGUCCCAAAUAUCCGACCAAGC
rnacentral:lncRNA from 1 species